UUCUUUUAAGCAACAGUGUUACAAUUUUCGGCAAUAAUAUUGUUUUUAUAUUGGUUUUGGAUCAGCUUUUAAAAACCCGUCAAAUCUAUCAGAAUAGUACUGGUUUCCAGAAUCUGAAAUUGUUGCAUAAUAUUUUGGUUCUAUUUACUGCAUUUUCAGUUUCUUGAUAUUUUUAGUAUUCAGCGCCACAUCAGCUUCUUGGUUUUUUGUAAUUUCUCAUUUUAACAAUGAUAUUUCUGCUAAAUGAGUUGAAAUACAAAUCAUUACAGUAAUAUAUUAUAGAACCAACCAAAGGCUUUGUAAACAAUCUGAAUCAGGAGCAGUGACAUGAGAAGUUGAACUUUGAAAUGAGAUAAGUGUAAACAGAUUCCAUUUUUAUUAACUUAAUUUCAGAGCAGUCAUGUCGUCCUUGUGGAACACUUUUAAGCAAAUAACUAAACAACAUCAAAUCAUUAAAGUUCCUUUGCGAUACUUGAAUCUUCUGGAGUAUCAAAGUAAAAAUUUACUAA